CAGUCGCCGCGGUAAAACGGAGGGUGCAAGCGUUAAUCGGAAUUACUGGGCGUAAAGCGCACGCAGGCGGUCUGUCAAGUCAGAUGUGAAAUCCCCGGGCUUAACCUGGGAACUGCAUUUGAAACUGGCAGGCUAGAGUCUUGUAGAGGGGGGUAGAAUUCCAGGUGUAGCGGUGAAAUGCGUAGAGAUCUGGAGGAAUACCGGUGGCGAAGGCGGCCCCCUGGACAAAGACUGACGCUCAGGUGCGAAAGCGUGGGGAGCAAACAGGAUUAGAUACCCCAGUAGUCCCUGUCUCUUAUAC
rnacentral:rRNA from 1 species